GAUGUUGCCUGAAAAGUUUUGCAUGGAAUAAUGGAAUAGGACUUCGGUUCUAUUUUGUUGGUUUUCGGAUCCGAAGUAAUGAUCAAAAGAGACAGGCGGGGACGUUUGUAUGGUUGCGCUAGAGGUGAAAUUCUUGGACCGUAAUCAGACAAACUAAAGCGAAAGCAUUCGUCAAGCAUGUUUUCAUUGACCAUGAGCGAAAGUCAGAGGCUCGAAGACGAUCAGAUACCGUCCUAGUUCUGACCAUAAACGAUGCCAACUGACGAUCCGUGGUGGUAGUUUAUAACAUUCCCCACGGGCAGUCCCCGGGAAACCUUUAAGUCUUUGGGUUCCGGGGGAAGUAUGGUUGCAAAGCUGAAACUUAAAGGAAUUGACGGAAGGGCACCACCAGGAGUGGAGCCUGCGGCUUAAUUCGACUCAACACGGGNNAACUCACCCGGCCCGGACACUG
rnacentral:rRNA from 1 species